GAUGAACGCUGGCGGCGUGCCUAAUACAUGCAAGUCGAGCGAAUGGAUUAAGAGCUUGCUCUUAUGAAGUUAGCCGCGGACGGGUGAGUAACACGUGGGUAACCUGCCCAUAAGACUGGGAUAACUCCGGGAAACCGGGGCUAAUACCGGAUAACAUUUUGAACCGCAUGGUUCGAAAUUGAAAGGCGGCUUCGGCUGUCACUUAUGGAUGGACCCGCGUCGCAUUAGCUAGUUGGUGAGGUAACGGCUCACCAAGGCAACGAUGCGUAGCCGACCUGAGAGGGUGAUCGGCCACCCUUGGACUGGGACACGGCCCAGACUCCUACGGGAGGCAGCAGUAGGGAAUCUUCCGAAAUGGACGAAAGUCUGACGGAGCAACGCCGCGUGAGUGAUGAAGGCUUUCGGGUCGUAAAACUCUGUUGUUAGGGAAGAACAAGUGCUAGUUGAAUAAGCUGGCACCUUGACGGUACCUAACCAGAAAGCCACGGCUAACUACGUGCCAGCCGCCGCGGUAA
rnacentral:rRNA from 1 species